rnacentral:lncRNA from 1 species
CUUAGUUGAUAAAGUGGCUGCUUUGUUGAAGUUGGCCCUCUUUCUUUGGAGCUGUUUCCAGAACAUCAUUUGCAAAAAAACAAAAAGGAUAAAAAACAAUGGGAAGAAACAAACAAUUAUACCAUAAUUAGAAACAUGAGCGUUGGAAGAAAACAUUGAUAUCAUUAGAUGAUAAAACUUCUGCUAACGCAAUGAAGAAAACAACGUGAAGCAAGCAUUGUGCGCGUUAAAACACUUAUUCACAUUUUUGCAAGAUGAAUAAUUUCAGGGUCAUUCCAAGUAACUCAUCAAGUGUAUUGUCCAAGUAUGAAAUUAGUGACCAAAAUGAUAAUAAUCAGUCUCAAAAGAGUAGUAAUAAUAAUAACAGAGUUUCAAAAUAUAAUUUUAAUCGUCGUAAAACAUACCAAAAGAUGAAAAAUCAGACCUUUUUAUCGUAAACGACGACAAUGAAAGAUUGUAAGCGUAAAACAUAGAUUUUAAGCGUUAAAGCUAGAAAACACAUAUUUUAAUCGUCGUAAAACUUACGAAAAUAUUUAAAAUUAGACUUUUUACCGUAAACGACGGCAAUGAAAGAUUGUAGCGUGAAAACAUAGAUUUUAAUCCGGUGUCCAUAUCAGUGUCUAUACUUAUAAUCAAUAUAAGGACAUAACUAAACAUUAAAAGGUAACAUUUGAGUUAAAGAUGUAGGUAAGAAAAAUGAUCAGUAGGACACAAUAAAGGAAGAGCUACCAAGAACUUGUAUGUAUCAUAGUUGGAUAUGAGAAAGAUAAUCAUAUUUUACCUUUUGUAACUCACUUUCUAUGGAAGAGCUACCAAGAUUCAACUUCAUAGACAUAAAUAAAAAAAUGUUAAUUUCAUAUUAGAGAAAAUAUUUAUAUAAAAACCUGCAUUAAAACCAAACUUUGGUUAAAUGUUGAACAAAAAUUCAUAUGAAAAACAACCUCCUUAUCUUCUUUAGUUUCAUUUGCGCAAGCUUCAUUCCCAAAAAAAAUGAAAAGUUAAAUUUUCAAGGUUUAAAAUGACAAAGGAAAGAAGAAUGAAUGAAAGGGAGAGAAAUAAACCUUACCUAGUAUUUGCAGAUUUUUUUCCAAAGAUAGAAUGAAUGGUUAGGUAAAUAUACCAUG